rnacentral:rRNA from 1 species
GUAGCAAAUACUCGAGCGAUAUCCUGGAGAUCUGAUGUGGAGAAGGGUUCCAUGUGAACAGCUUUUGCACAUGGGUCAGUCUGUCCUAAGCUGCAGGAGAAAUCCGGGUUCUGGCGAAAUCGGUGCUCCCGAAAAACCAAAAUUAAAUUUUGAUUAAAAAUGGGUGUCACUGCCAAACCUAAGCAAGAGGGAAUCCGGUACUGAUUCCGGAACCUGGUCAUGGAUAACCUCUCUUCGGAGAGGGUCGUUGGGGUCCUCGUGAUCUACACCGUAAGGUAGCUAAACUCGGGGAAGUCCGGCCGCUGUCCCGGGCAGAGUUUUCUGUUCUGUACUAAGGGCCCGGAUCCCUGGAAUCGCCUCGCGCGGAGAGAGGGAACUGGUUUCAUUUUAGCCCGAAGAGCCCCGCAGUUCUUGCGGGGUCCGAUUGGAUGGCGGUCGAACCCUUGAAAACACCCGAGGGAGGGCGU